rnacentral:rRNA from 1 species
UAGGGAAUAUUGGACAAUGGGUGAGAGCCUGAUCCAGCCAUGCCGCGUGCAGGAAGAAGGCGUUAUGCGUUGUAAACUGCUUUUUGCCAGGGGAUAAAAUGAGCAUGCGUGCUUAAUUGAAGGUACCUGGUGAAUAAGCCACGGCUAACUACGUGCCAGCAGCCGCGGUAAUACGUAGGUGGCAAGCGUUGUCCGGAUUUAUUGGGUUUAAAGGGUGCGUAGGUGGCUAACUAAGUCAGUGGUGAAAUAUCUCAGCUUAACUGAGAGGGUGCCAUUGAUACUGGAUAGCUUGAGUACAGAUGAGGUAGGCGGAAUUGACGGUGUAGCGGUGAAAUGCAUAGAUAUCGUCAAGAACACCGAUAGCGAAGGCAGCUUACCAAGCUGUAACUGACACUGAGGCACGAAAGUGUGGGGAUCAAACAGGAUUAGAUACCCUAGUAGUCCCUGAGCGGGCUGGCAAGGCGCAU